rnacentral:rRNA from 1 species
UACGUAGGUGACAAGCGUUGUCCGGAUUUACUGGGCGUAAAGAGCGCGCAGGCGGUCGUUCAAGUCGAGUGUGAAAGCCCCCGGCUCAACUGGGGAGGGUCAUUCGAUACUGAUCGACUCGAAGGCAGGAGAGGGAAGUGGAAUUCCCGGUGUAGUGGUGAAAUGCGUAGAUAUCGGGAGGAACACCAGUGGCGAAGGCGGUUCUCUGGGCAUUACCUGACGCUGAGGAGCGAAAGUGUGGGGAGCGAACAGG